GCAAAAUCAUCAGUGUAUACCAGCUGAUCAGGUGGUGGUGCGUAUAUAACGUCGUAACCUUUCCCCAUAUCCCAUAUACAUAGAAUAUAUGCAUAUAUAAUGCAAUCUGGUCAUGGGUCAAUGUACAUGUAUAAAUGAAUGCAAUGCAUAAUGAAGUAAGUCAAUAAAACCUCUCGGAUAAACUUUAUCAACUUACAUAUUUUUCUAAGACUCGUGAAUAGAUGAUAUAAUAAUAGGACACAUGGGGAAUCAAGAACAUAGGCACUCCUAGUACUUCUAUGAAUAGAGCCAUAUAUGAAAGUUGUGUGUUUGCUCGUUUCGUUUGUAUCAUAUGGAUCAUGCCAAAAGUAAAGAAGGGAUAGCCUUAACAUACCUUUGUCGUUUACCUAACCACACGACGUCGGUUCAGCCCAUUAGUACUUCAAUCUACAAGAAACAAUAAGGACCAUUGUUAAGCUUACGGAAGCUAGAACUCAACACAAAUGAGCGACUAGCUCAUCUACGAAAUUUUGGACAGCACCUCCCCUUAUUCUUUUCUCUUUACUCAAAUCCACAAACAAUACCAACAUGUCCAUAAUAUAAACAAACAUAUUACAUCAAUAUCCAACCUUAUAUCCAUCGCAAUACAUCACCAAAACAGUCCACACAAUCUCAUACAACAACCAAGUGCUACUUUGCGCUUUUCAUUCCUAUAACUUAGCUAGAACUUGAAUACACUUCAAUAAUGACAACCACAAUAUACUCAGGUUAUACAUACUGAUUUUUAAGCCACAACACCACAUAAAAACGAACUCCUAACAGUCCGCAAAUUACAACAACUAAAAAUUGAUUUUCAGAUUAUUACUUCAUCAACUCUUACUCCCACAACUUAGUUAAGGCACCAAUAAGAUUAAACACAACAUGUACAAGACAAUACUCUUAUGUGACAGCCAUUUAAUAAUAUGAAACUACUCCAAACAUUUCAUAACACCACAACAACUUCAACUCAAUUUCCAGCUAGAACUUAGAUAAACUCAAAUAUAUGAAAGAGGGAGGAUUUUCUUACCUAUAUCAGAUCUUGUAUGGAUGAAACAAUGGUAGUAUAUUUCCCUUGAUGGCCAUUAACUUGCUUCACAUCAGAUCCUUCAAGAUUGGAGAUUACCCUUUAACUUGAAUUGAAAGAAGAAGAAGAUUAUCAACAACUUCUUGAGAGUUUGGAGUAGGUCAAUUUGGAAGAGAAUUUCGUGGCUCUCUUUAUGUUUC
rnacentral:lncRNA from 1 species